GACGAACGCUGACGGCGUGCCUAACACAUGCAAGUCGAGCGAUGAAGCUUCUUCGGAAGUGGAUUAGCGGCGGACGGGUGAGUAACACGUGGGUAACCUGCCUCAUAGUGGGGAAUAGCCUUUCGAAAGGAAGAUUAAUACCGCAUAAGAUUGUAGCUUCGCAUGAAGUAGCAAUUAAAGGAUUUAUUCGCUAUGAGAUGGACCCGCGGCGCAUUAGCUAGUUGGUGAGGUAACGGCCACCAAGGCGACGAUGCGUAGCCGACCUGAGAGGUGAUCGGCCACAUUGGAACUGAGACACGGUCCAGACUCCUACGGGAGGCAGCAGUGGGGAAUAUUGCACAAUGGGGGAAACCCUGAUGCAGCAACGCCGCGUGAGUGAUGACGGUCUUCGGAUUGUAAAAGUUCUGUUAUACGGGACGAAUGGCGUAGCGGUCAAUACCCGUUACGAGUGACGGUACCGUAAGAGAAAGCCACGGCUAACUACGUGCCAGCAG
rnacentral:rRNA from 1 species